rnacentral:rRNA from 1 species
UACGUAGGUGGAGAGCGUUGUCCGGAUUUACUGGGCGUAAAGGGAGCGUAGGCGGACUUUUAAGUGAGAUGUGAAAUACCCGGGCUCAACUUGGGUGCUGCAUUUCAAACUGGAAGUCUAGAGUGCAGGAGAGGAGAAUGGAAUUCCUAGUGUAGCGGUGAAAUGCGUAGAGAUUAGGAAGAACACCAGUGGCGAAGGCGAUUCUCUGGACUGUAACUGACGCUGAGGCUCGAAAGCGUGGGGAGCAAACAGGAUUAGAUACCCU